rnacentral:rRNA from 1 species
GACGAACGCUGGCGGCGUGCUUAACACAUGCAAGUCGAACGGAAAGGCCCUGCUUUUGUGGGGUGCUCGAGUGGCGAACGGGUGAGUAACACGUGAGUAACCUGCCCUUGACUUUGGGAUAACUUCAGGAAACUGGGGCUAAUACCGGAUAGGAGCUCCUGCUUCAUGGUGGGGGUUGGAAAGUUUCGGCGGUUGGGGAUGGACUCGCGGCUUAUCAGCUUGUUGGUGGGGUAGUGGCUUACCAAGGCUUUGACGGGUAGCCGGCCUGAGAGGGUGACCGGCCACAUUGGGACUGAGAUACGGCCCAGACUCCUACGGGAGGCAGCAGUGGGGAAUAUUGCACAAUGGGCGGAAGCCUGAUGCAGCAACGCCGCGUGCGGGAUGACGGCCUUCGGGUUGUAAACCGCUUUCGCCUGUGACGAAGCGUGAGUGACGGUAAUGGGGAAAGAAGCACCGGCUAACUACGU